rnacentral:rRNA from 1 species
GCCAGCAGUCAUAUCACCCUGCAACUCACUGAAGCAAAGCAGGUGUGAGCCUUGUCAGUACCUAGAUGGGAGACCUCCUGAGCAAAACUAAGGUUGCUGCUGGAA